rnacentral:rRNA from 1 species
CAGCAGCCGCCGCGGUAACACGGAGGGUGCAAGCGUUAUCCGGAUUUAUUGGGUUUAAAGGGUCCGUAGGCGGAUCUGUAAGUCAGUGGUGAAAUCUCACAGCUUAACUGUGAAACUGCCAUUGAUACUGCAGGUCUUGAGUAAAUUUGAAGUGGCUGGAAUAAGUAGUGUAGCGGUGAAAUGCAUAGAUAUUACUUAGAACACCAAUUGCGAAGGCAGGUCACUAAGAUUUAACUGACGCUGAUGGACGAAAGCGUGGGGAGCGAACAGGAUUAGAUACCCCCGUAGUCCCUGUCUCUUAUAC